GUGAACGCUGGCGGUAGGCCUAACACAUGCCAGUCGAACGGCAGCACAGUAAGAGCUUGCUCUUACGGGUGGCGAGUGGCGGACGGGUGAGGAAUACAUCGGAAUCUACUUUUUCGUGGGGGAUAACGUAGGGAAACUUACGCUAAUACCGCAUACGACCUACGGGUGAAAGCAGGGGAUCUUCGGACCUUGCGCGAUUGAAUGAGCCGAUGUCGGAUUAGCUAGUUGGCGGGGUAAAGGCCCACCAAGGCGACGAUCCGUAGCUGGUCUGAGAGGAUGAUCAGCCACACUGGAACUGAGACACGGUCCAGACUCCUACGGGAGGCAGCAGUGGGGAAUAUUGGACAAUGGGCGCAAGCCUGAUCCAGCCAUACCGCGUGGGUGAAGAAGGCCUUCGGGUUGUAAAGCCCUUUUGUUGGGAAAGAAAAGCAGCAGGUUAAUACCCCGCUGUUCUGACGGUACCCAAAGAAUAAGCAUCGGCUAACUUCGUG
rnacentral:rRNA from 1 species